rnacentral:rRNA from 1 species
UACGUAGGGUGCAAGCGUUAAUCGGAAUUACUGGGCGUAAAGCGUGCGCAGGCGGUUCGUUGUGUCGGUGGUGAAAGCCCCGGGCUUAACCUGGGAAUGGCCAUGGAAACUGGCGAACUGGAGUGUGGCAGAGGGGGGUGGAAUUCCCGGUGUAGCAGUGAAAUGCGUAGAGAUCGGGAGGAACACCAGUGGCGAAGGCGACUACCUGGACCAGCACUGACACUGAGGCACGAAAGCGUGGGGAGCAAACAGG